rnacentral:rRNA from 1 species
GAGUCUGACGGAGCACGCCGCGUGAGUGAUGAAGGCUUUCGGGUCGUAAAACUCUGUUGUUAGGGAAGAACAAGUGCUAGUUGAAUAAGCUGGCACCUUGACGGUACCUAACCAGAAAGCCACGGCUAACUACGUGCCAGCAGCCGCGGUAAUACGUAGGUGGCAAGCGUUAUCCGGAAUUAUUGGGCGUAAAGCGCGCGCAGGUGGUUUCUUAAGUCUGAUGUGAAAGCCCACGGCUCAACCGUGGAGGGUCAUUGGAAACUGGGAGACUUGAGUGCAGAAGAGGAAAGUGGAAUUCCAUGUGUAGCGGUGAAAUGCGUAGAGAUAUGGAGGAACACCAGUGGCGAAGGCGACUUUCUGGUCUGUAACUGACACUGAGGCGCGAAAGCGUGGGGAGCAAACAGGAUUAGAUACCCUGGUAGUCAACGCCGUAAACAAUGA